CCUACGGGUGGCAGCAGUAGGGAAUUUUCGGCAAUGGGCGAAAGCCUGACCGAGCAACGCCGCGUGAGCGAAGAAGGUUUUCGGAUUGUAAAGCUCUGUUAUAGAGGAAGAACGGUGUCGGUAGGAACUGACGUACCAGUGACGGUACCCUGCGAGGAAGCCACGGCUAACUACGUGCCAGCAGCCGCGGUAAUACGUAGGUGGCGAGCGUUAUCCGGAUUCAUUGGGCGUAAAGCGGGAGCAGGCGGCCUGGAGGGUCUAUUGUGAAAAGGCAGGGACGUAACCAUGGCAAGGCGAAGAAACCGGCAGGCUAGAGUUCUAAAGAGGAUAGUGGAAUUCCAUGUGUAGCGGUGAAAUGCGUAGAUAUAUGGAGGAACACCAGUGGCGAAGGCGACGAUCUGGGAAGAAACAGACGCUGAGGCCCGAAAGCGUGGGGAGCAAAUAGGAUUAGAUACCCCAGUAGUC
rnacentral:rRNA from 1 species